rnacentral:rRNA from 1 species
UUCCAGACUCCUACGGGAGGCAGCAGUGGGGGAUAUUGCACAAUGGGGGAAACCCUGAUGCAGCGACGCCGCGUGGGUGAAGAAGCGCCUCGGCGCGUAAAGCCCUGUCAGCAGGGAAGAAAAUGACGGUACCUGACUAAGAAGCCCCGGCUAACUACGUGCCAGCAGCCGCGGUAAUACGUAGGGGGCAAGCGUUAUCCGGAUUUACUGGGUGUAAAGGGAGCGUAGACGGUUAUGCAAGUCUGAAGUGAAAGCCCAAGGCUCAACCAUGGGACUGCUUUGGAAACUGUAAAACUGGAGUGCAGGAGAGGUAAGCGGAAUUCCUAGUGUAGCGGUGAAAUGCGUAGAUAUUAGGAGGAACACCAGCGGCGAAGGCGGCCUGCUGGACCGUGACUGACGUUGAGGCUCGAGAGCGUGGGGAGCAAACAGGAUUAGAUACCCCGGUA